GGGACUGUUUCAGGGGCAGAGCAUCUGUUUGGCAUGCAGAAGGUUCCAGGUUCGAUCCCCGACAUCCCCA
rnacentral:tRNA from 1 species